rnacentral:rRNA from 1 species
CCUACGGGAGGCAGCAGUGGGGAAUUUUCCGCAAUGGGCGAAAGCCUGACGGAGCAACGCCGCGUGGGUGAUGAAGUCUUUCGGGACGUAAAACCCUUUCAGCAGGGACGAACAAAAUGACGGUACCUGCAGAAGAAGCAUCGGCUAACUACGUGCCAGCAGCCGCGGUAAUACGUAGGAUGCGAGCGUUGUCCGGAUUUAUUGGGCGUAAAGCGAACGUAGGCGGUUUCUUAAGUUUGGUCUUAAAGACCGGGGCUCAACCCCGGGAGUGGACUGAAUACUGGGAAACUAGAGGAUGUUAGAGGAAAGUGGAAUUCCAAGUGUAGCGGCGAAAUGCGUAGAUAUUUGGAGGAACACCAGUGGCGAAAGCGGCUUUCUGGGACAUUUCUGACGCUGAGGUUCGAAAGCUCGGGGAGCAAACAGGAUUAGAUACCCUGGUAGUCCGAGCCGUAAACGAUGGACACUAGGUGUCGGGGGUAUCGACCCCCCGGUGCCGUAGCUAACGCGUUAAGUGUCCCGCCUGGGGAGGUACGGUCGCGAGACUGAACUACAAGGAAGUAGUACGGCGUGAGACGUGCCGAACGGACGACGACGAGGGGAGGUAAGG